rnacentral:rRNA from 1 species
UACGGAGGGGGCUAGCGUUGUUCGGAAUUACUGGGCGUAAAGCGCACGUAGGCGGCUUUGUAAGUUAGAGGUGAAAGCCCAGGGCUCAACCCUGGAAUUGCCUUUAAGACUGCAUCGCUAGAAUUGUGGAGAGGUAAGUGGAAUUCCGAGUGUAGAGGUGAAAUUCGUAGAUAUUCGGAAGAACACCAGUGGCGAAGGCGGCUCACUGGCCCCGAUACUGACGCUGAGGCACGAAAGCGUGGGGAGCAAACAGG